CCACAGAAUCACUCUAUAGAGACAACAAUUUCAAGCAGUGUUGCCAAAAAGCAUCAUUGGAUAAUAAUGGAAUGAAAUUUGACAAAUAAAAAUUAGAUAUGAAGGGAUGUGCUGUGCAGCUGUUACAAGGAUGAAAAUAUGGCUACCUCACUGGUUUUGAUGUUUCUUCAGCGUGCAAAUCUUCAUCAAUAAUCAGGCUAAAAAAAUCAUACCAAGAAAAAGAAAUAAGAUCAAUGGAAACCGUGUAGUUUUUCCUUGUUUUACCAGAUACAAGAAAUCUGUGUGACAGGUUAUAUUGUGAACACUUCGAGGCUGCUGUCUACUGAGACAUCAAAAUGACUUUGUUCCCAAUAGAAAG